rnacentral:rRNA from 1 species
GAUGAGCGCUGGCGGCGUGCCUAAUACAUGCAAGUCGAGCGAACGGACGAGAAGCUUGCUUCUCUGAUGUUAGCGGCGGACGGGUGAGUAACACGUGGAUAACCUACCUAUAAGACUGGGAUAACUUCGGGAAACCGGAGCUAAUACCGGAUAAUAUUUUGAACCGCAUGGCUCGAAAGUGGAAGACGGUCUUGCUGUCACUUAUAGAUGGAUCCGCGCUGCAUUAGCUAGUUGGUAAGGUAACGGCUUAUCAAAGCAACGAUGCAUAGCCGACCUGAGAGGGUGAUCGGCCACAUUGGGACUGAGACACGGCCCAA